AGAGAGGUCACCUCAGUGACUUAACAUGGGAGUCACCCAGGCUGGUUCUCAUUUUUUUUUAAACACACGAUUCCUUUUCUCCUUCCCCCACCCCCAGAGACUUCUCUGGGUUUGACUGGACUCCGGAAUCUAUAUUUUUAGAAGGUUCCCUGGUGAUUCAGAUAAGUUCAGUCUGUGACCCACUGGCACACUCACCUUCAGACAGAGGAAUAUCUGCUUGGAUGUUCUGGGUGUACAAGCAUCUGGCUGGCAUAAGAUAACCAGUAUGCCACAGUGUUGUACGUGAGGACAGCAGACGACACAGCCACAUCUAUCAACUUUUCCCAGCAAGUCGUACCUGCACCGUCAGCUGGUCUUAGAAGUUAGGUCCUCGUACAAUCGAAUUGGCU
rnacentral:lncRNA from 1 species